rnacentral:lncRNA from 1 species
UGAGCUCAUAGCAUUGACUUAUUUUUUUCAUCUCUUCAUAUAGACUACUGGUAGCAGAUGAGAAUGAAACAUAAAUGAAGCAAAGAAUACAUUUCUAGGAUCCAGUCCAAGAAUAAGUAAAUGGCAUCCUUCCAGUGGAGAGCUGACAGCUGGGAUUGAAACAAGAUGGAUCCCCAUCCAUGUACCUUUGCUCAACUGUCC